GCCGGUGUUACACAAGGAACGUAAGAGGCAGAUCAGCCAGGUGGGGGCGCUGUUAGCCAACGUUACACCGUAGCUUGUUUCAUCUACAGCUGACCUGUGACAGAGACUUUAUCUUCCUCCUCUUUGGACCAGGCUGCGGUUGUUUCGAUGGCAACGCUGCAGUCAGACAUGGAGGAUCUGCUGGAUGUAGCUGACUGCAUCUCUGGUGUUGAUGUGGAGCCGGUGACUGUCACUGAGGUGCCUCAGGACGUGUUUGGAGUGGAAGGCUGAAGGAGUGUAAUACACCAGCUUAGGGAGGCACAGAGAGCCCACUGCAGCGAUUUCAAACCUGCUGCCCUGGAGAGCAAGAGAGAGAAGGUGACUGGUCCAUCCUGCAGGCCACUGGCCUCUUUUAUAAACUGCAGGACGGCUUGGCUACGUGACACACCUCUCAGCUCAACGUGUAACACCGGGCAGUGCUGGAGCAGGAAGUCUCGUCCUCGUCGCUUUAUCAGCUGAGGACACAAGCAUGUUACAUAAACAUAUGUAAAAAAAUUUAUGAUUUCCAAGAUCUCCGACUUCAGCUUGAAGCGCAGAAGCUGCCAGCUGGAAGAACAGAGCUUCCUGAUGGCGGCUCUGUGAAUGCAGCACCUUCUGCCUCAGCUCAGCGUAGUAGAGCUGAUGCACUUUGCUGCUCCUUAAACA